AGAUUGAACGCUGGCGGAAUGCCUUACACAUGCAAGUCGAACGGCAGCACGGGAGCAAUCCUGGUGGCGAGUGGCGAACGGGUGAGUAAUACAUCGGAACGUGCCCAAUCGUGGGGGAUAACGUAGCGAAAGCUACGCUAAUACCGCAUACGAUCUACGGAUGAAAGCGAGGGGAUCGCAAGACCUUGCGCGAAUGGAGCGGCCGAUGGCAGAUUAGGUAGUUGGUGGGGUAAAGGCUCACCAAGCCUUCGAUCUGUAGCUGGUCUGAGAGGACGACCAGCCACACUGGGACUGAGACCGCGGCCCAGACUCCGUACGGGAGCAGCGAGUGGGUAAUUUUGGACAAGUGGGCGACAACGCCGUGACUCCGAGCCUAACUUCCGGC
rnacentral:rRNA from 1 species